GCCUGCCCGUGACCAAAGGUUUAACGGCCGCGGUAUUUUGACCGUGCAAAGGUAGCGCAAUCACUUGUCUCUUAAAUGGGGACCCGUAUGAAUGGCAUAACGAGGGCUUAGCUGUCUCCUUUUUCAAGUCAAUGAAAUUGAUCUCCCCGUGCAGAAGCGGGGAUGACCACAUAAGACGAGAAGACCCUAUGGAGCUUUAGACACCAAGACAGACCAUGUCAAACACCCCAGAUCAAAGGGCCAAACUAAAUGGGACCCUGUCCUAAUGUCUUCGGUUGGGGCGACCGCGGGGAAACAUAAAACCCCCACGUGGAAAGGGAGCACAACCCUCCUACAACCAAGAGCUUCCGCUCUACUAAACAGAACUUCUGACCUUAAGAUCCGGCAAAGCCGAUCAACGGACCAAGUUACCCUAGGGAUAACAGCGCAAUCCCCUUCUAGAGCCCAUAUCGACAAGGGGGUUUACGACCUCGAUGUUGGAUCAGGACAUCCUAAUGGUGCAGCCGCUAUUAAGGGUUCGUUUGUUCAACGAUUAAAGUCCUACGUGAU
rnacentral:rRNA from 1 species